AACUCCAUGCAGCGUUCCAAGAAACAGCCAAGCAUCUGUCCUGGAACAUGGACCCAUCUUAUACGCAUAGUGCUUAGUGAUAAAAAGUAAAAGCAGAAGGAGAUCUAUAGCACAAUACUAUUCAUUUCAGUACAUACAAAACAGCAGACUUUCUUUUCAAGAACAGACAAAUAAAAAAUGCACAUCAGAUAUGUUUGAACUGUUGCCGGUGGAGGGCAGGGAUUCACUAUGUCAGCAAUAUUUAUUGGGCAUUAUAUGGGAUUGUGUAUCUACAAGCAUCCGACAUGGUACUUGCCACUUGGUCUCUUCCCUCACCCUGGCCGGCAAAAGCUAUGCUGAUUUUAUGAGCCACGUCCUUUAAUGAGCUGUGCAAGGUUGCACAAUUAAAAAAUUUUUCCAGAAAAAUACAUGGAUCCUGUGUUUACUGUAUUUCCACAGUUAAGCAAUAUUUUCAAUAUAGGAGGGACACAUGGCAAUCAUCAAAGCGUAACAACAUCAUGGCCCAUUUGUCUCUAUGUGGCCGGCAUUCAUUUUAACAAUUUCCGAGCAACAAGCAAUUUCAACUCUGUCUUAUGUAUAUUAUCCCACUUAAUCUUCCCAGAAAAGAUUUGAAGCUCAGAGAAGCCACAUUUUGCCCAAGAUGAAAGAGCUAGCAAGAACAAGGGCCGCAGCUGUCUAGCUAAUACAGGAGUGACCAGGUCCCCUGCCAGGGAGAACAAGAAGGCCCCUGUGGACUUUGCUGGAAACUGAGGUGCAAGCAACACUAGGCUGGAGGAACGAAGAUCGUGACAAGUGAUAUCUUACAGGGAGCCUCAGUAUAGAGGUCAAUGUGGGCAGAACUGCUGAUGUUGGAGGGUUUCAGGGGACCUGGAGGCCAGCCCAGGCCAAUCCAGCCCUAUGGAGCAGUGGAAAAGCCAUCACUCUCAAAUAAUCACUCGAGUCCACUUGCAGCAAAGUUUGUAAACCAAAGGAUGUUGAUACAUUCCCCCAAAGCCAUGGAACCAGAUAAAAACUCCUGUUUUCCAGUCCGGACAUUGGAAGAUGACGAUGAAGUUGAUAUAUGAAGAAGCACAAAUUGGACAGCUGACCUUAAUAAAUCAUAGAGGAGGAACAGGUGACAAGCACACACUCGUACCCACGUGACUGUACUUCUCCCAGCUCGCUCCAGCACAGGACAAGCGGCAGGUGUGGCUCACCGCCCCUGUGGCAAGGCGCUGACACGGUGAGAAGGACAGAGCAGAGGCAGGACCGGGCUGUGCUGAUCUGAUAAGGGGAUUAAGUUUCGGCUUCCCUCCCACCAUCCCUAAUGCCCUCGGACUAAGCAGCUGCCCCAGCUCAGCUCUUCCUCGGAUGCAAAACGUCUCUCUGCCCAGGCAGUCGCUGCAUGCUGGCCCCCAGAGGCACCAGCCUUUCCUGAAACAUGGUGAUGUUCUUUACACCUUUGCCCAGGCAUGCCCUCUGUGGGCGAUGCCCCGCCCCUCCGGUCAAGUACCCACUUGCUCUUCGAGACUGGCUCAGGUUUCACCUCUGAGCUGUUGCCCUAGUUCUGGGGGUGGGUUUAGCUGCUCCCUCCUGCGCUCUGCUCGCCCCACACCCACCCCUCUCUUUCCUGUGCUUACUAUGCGGUAAGUGUGGGACUCCUACAGCAGUUACUUUUUCACAUGAUUGUCUUCUCCAUCAAGAGGAUGAGCUUCCUGAGGACAAAGACCAGCUUCUUCCAAGCGUCUGGCGCAUAACAGUUACUUUAUAAACAUUUCUGGUCGGACUUCCCUGGCGGUCCAGCGGUUAGGACUCUGAGUUUCCACUGCUGGGGCCCAGGUUCGAUCCCUGGUCGGGGAGAUAAGAUCCUGCAAACCCGGCAGCAUGGCCAAAAAAGAAAAAGAGAAGUUUUGGGGAUGCUAUGACUGAGUGAUAUAUAUAUGGUCAACCUAUGAAAAGAAAGCAGUAUGAUACAGGACACGUGUAGGAGACAGACACACUGGAGAGGCAGCAAGUUCAUGAAAACUUCUUUCCUAAAAGUAAAGACAAGUCACGAGGGUAUAUAAGAGCUGCCUGAAGCGGAGGGAGCAGUGUGAUACGUGAGCAGCUCAAAGGGGACACAGACGGUGCACCUGGCAGGCCAGAGGCUCUGAACCUGGAGCCUGGACCCCAAGAGCCGCUUACAGCAGAGUCCCCGAAGGGCCUCCUGGAGCAGGAAGGUGCUGUGGGACUCCAUCUGCCUUCCCCACACUCUGUAACAAGAGCAAGCGCUUUGUUUUGUUUGGUUUUGUUUUGUUUUAUUUGGCUGCACCGUGGCUUGUGGGAUCUUAGUUUCCUGACCAGGGAAUCGAACCCGGACCCCCUGCAGCAAAAGUACCAUGUCGUAACCACUGGACCGCCAGGGACUUCCCAAGAGCGAGCACACUGAAAGUUCAUUUUCGUGCAGAGGUCUCAUUUUCCUAGUGCAUCUCACACACCUAAUGUUUAUCAGGCCCACAUGCUUUCAUUUUCUUUUAAUAAAAUCUCUGGGCCUUAACCCUGAAUUGAGAGGGUGUGGGAGGAGCGGUGUGGCAGGAGGACGAAGCUGGUGCAGGAAACGAGGCAGUCCUGCACAGACGGGAAGGGAUGUUCCAUCAGCAGGAAACAGCCCUCAAAACCAGUCACAUCAGAAAUGGGUGACACCAUGAUGAACUGUUAGUGACGAGACAUAAAUGUAAAUUGA